UUGUUUUCUUGUGAAAUGGUGACGCCUUUAAAAAUAACAAUAUUGGAUUGACUGUGCAGUCUUAUAGCAUAAGUUAAAUUGCCUGGACAAUAAAGCAGAGGCUUAAAGGUUUUGCUUUUUGCAAUGAGAAAUUGCUAUUAAAGGCUUAAAAACCUGAUCCAAAUUAAAUUGUUCAGACAGUUGAUGUAUCCCAACUAAUUUCCUUUUUGCGAAAGAACAACAUGAUGCAAGAGUCUUUUGGUAGUGAACUUUAUCUUCGUUUGAAACGAUUAGUAUAUAAUGAAACUACAUUAAACUUAUCAGUGAAGAGAUGUGCAUGUUCAUAAUCAUGAAGCUGCUAGCAAAAUUUAUGUGCAACAAGUCAACCAACAGAGAGAAUAACAACAGCUUAUGUUUAUUGUCUGACUUCAAUUGAUUUAAACUUAAGCAGUUGCCUUUAUAAUCAAUUCGAAACGUACCGAGGUCACCAUAGUACGCACUGUUCACGAUCAGAUAUUUAAUUCACAAAAUGCAUCCAAGUUUUCCAUUCAUGUGCA